UUUUUGUUUUUUUUAAAGACUUGGAUUAUUAAAGCAAAAAAGACAAACAGAUACUUUCUUCCAGGAUCCAAACGAAAUUCAGUGCAGAAUGUCUUCCGAAAACUGCCGAAAAAACAAUUCUAUGCCAGAUCUAUCUAACAAGGUCGCUUUUUGUUAAAGAAAAUUCAACCUCAAAAAUACGUCCUUCUUCCGCUAAACUGUCAACACCACUAAACUGCCCGCCAACUUACAGCACAGGAAUCCGCACAAAAUGUUACGUCACAACGCCGGCCUGACGUGCCUCGUUUCCCUGGAGACGGUGUACAGUGCUAGCGGCCUGUUCAGUUCCCGUCCCCAGAGUUUUACACAUCGCCCCUUCCCAGCUUGAGAAAAUGGUUCUGUAGUUUUAGUUCCGGCAAGUUUUAAAGCAGCAUAUUGUUCCACAGUAGACGCAGAUUUAAGGGGGGGGAGGGGGGGUUGUCAACCGGGACAUUUGUCCAGGACACUGAGCUGUCGAGGGGGCCCGCAGCCCAGGUUAAAAUAAAUACAUAAAUAAAAAUGUCUAUUUUCCAGUUUAAAAUCCAACCCGCUUGCCUGUGAUCGCGCUGCUAAACACUGGAAUCUCUUACUGGCCACGCGCACGCUGGAGGACGCGAGAGAGCGUGAGAGACAGAGCGCGAGAGGGAGACUAACAGAAAACAAUUGAAAAACUUUGCGGCGCAGCGAAACAAACAAACAAAACAAAAACUCAAAUUUCGGUUUAAAAUCCUAUAAAAAUGAAGUAACGACAACACCAAAUGAACCCGAACAACUGGUCAACGAGAGUUUUGGCGGCGCUACGGUUCCAAAUAACGGGCCUGAAGAGUCAGACAGUAAGGAGGAGUCGUUGCCGGUCUGCUCACAGCGGCAAUUAACGAGCAAGGUAACUUCAAUCUGCCUUUCGCUUUAACCCACAGACUCGUGGGAUAACAUUCUGGAGAGAGUCGACAAAACUACAAAAUCCAUUGAAGCACAAAACAUCGAACUGUCAGUGAAGAUUCAUCCCGGCCUUUGCCAAAAUCAUCGCUCCUCUAAAUGAUCUUUUGAGUGGGACUGCUGCUUUGUGGAAGAAGAUUGCAGUUGUGGAAUAGAACCCCCAGUGUCAAUCCACUUUUGAAGAGUUGAAAACAGCGCUUACUGCCGGUGGAGCGGGAAGCAGGUGUUGCCCCACCCCAGUACAGGUAUCACUGCUGGAGGAUGAAGGGACACCCCCGCGUAGUGGAGAAACUGAAGAACAGGAGCCAGACUUCCCAAGGGGUACGUGGCAGCAGCAGGACCAGGCAGUAAAAAGGGUUCGGACGUGGUGGGAACAGGGGACUCUGCUGGAGACCUCGGCUCAGGGAACGGUGUCAUCGGAAGCCCGGAGGCUUUUAUAAGAAUGGGACCGGUUACAAAUGGAAGGAGGCGUUCUGGUAAGGAAGGAGGACCGAACCAGGGAUGGAGAGCUGCAGAUGCAGAUUGUGGUCCCCCGCAGCCAGGGACAACUUGUCUGGAAGAGGUACCACGAGUCUUUUGGACACGUUGCCAGCACUAAGAUCCUGUCAGUGUUGAGACAGAGGUUUUACUGGUAUGGUAUAAUAAAUAAUAAUCUUUAUUUUUAUAUAGCGUCUUUCGUAGUGGACCACCAUCACAAA